rnacentral:rRNA from 1 species
GACAGAGGGGGCAAGCGUUGUCCGGAGUUACUGGGCGUAAAGCGCACGUAGGCGGUGCGGUAAGUAAGGUGUGAAAGCCCCAGGCUUAACCUGGGGAGGUCAUCUUCGACUGCCGCACUCGAGACCUGCAGAGGGUGGUGGAAUUGCUGGUGUAGUGGUGAAAUGCGUAGAGAUCAGCAGGAACACCAAGGGCGGAAGCAGCCACCUGGGCAGGGACUGACGCUGAGGUGCGAAAGCGUGGGGAGCGAACCGG